CGCUCAGGAUGAACGCUGGCGGCGUGCCUAAUACAUGCAAGUCGAACGAGGUGCUUGAGUAGCAAUACAAGAGUAUCCUAGUGGCGAACGGGUGAGUAACGCGUUGGUGACCUACCCCAAAGUGUGGGAUAACAGUUCGAAAGAACUGCUAAUACCGCAUGUGGUUAUCGGGUUUAGAAACUGAUAACUAAAGGAGCAAUUCGCUUUGGGAGGGACCUGCGUCCCAUCAGCUAGUUGGUGAGGUAAUGGCUCACCAAGGCUACGACGGGUAGGGGACCUGAGAGGGUGACCCCCCACAAUGGAACUGAAACACGGUCCAUACACCUACGGGUGGCAGCAGUAGGGAAUAUUGCACAAUGGGCGAAAGCCUGAUGCAGCAACGCCGCGUGUGCGAUGAAGGCCUUCGGGUCGUAAAGCACUUUUCUGAGAGAUGAGCAAGGACAGAUCUUCAGGAAUAAGCU
rnacentral:rRNA from 1 species